rnacentral:rRNA from 1 species
UACGGAGGGUGCGAGCGUUGUCCGGAAUCACUGGGCGUAAAGGCGCGUAGGCGGCCUGAUAAGUAGGGGGUGAAAUCCUGCGGCUUAACCGCAGGGCUGCCUUCUAAACUGUCAGGCUUGAGCACAGUAGAGGCAGGUGGAAUUUCCGGUGUAGCGGUGGAAUGCGUAGAUAUCUGGAGGAACACCGAUGGCGAAGGCAGCCCCCUGGGCUAACACUGACGCUCAUGCACGAAAGCGUGGGGAGCAAACAGG